UCAAAAACGAGACGAAAUGUCAUACUCUCAUAUCACGAACUAACAUAUUUUUCUGUCACAGAAAAUGUCAAAAUCCUUAUUUUCAUCAUUUUUACUAGAAAUGUGGUGGAUGACUUUGUUAAUUUUUAGAUUGACGCUGGAUAAUACCGGAAGUGCAGUUAGAAUGGGAAAGACCUAACCGAGCCAUUCGGUACAAAAUAGUAAGAGUCGCAGAGUUAAAUAAUUUUGUCUACCUCGAAACCAGCAUCAACAACACCAACAAUCGUAGCCUCAAAAUCCAACGCAGAAUAACUCUCGAAUGAAAAGUAAAGUCCCCUCUUGAGGAACAAUGACAAAACUCUACACGACCCUCCUCAUUUCCGUCUUGUUUAUGGUGCAGAAGCAUGGAUAAUGUUAACAUCUGAUGAGACGACACCAGGAGUUUUCGAGGGAAAGGUUUGCAGAAGUUUGAUGGUCCCUUAACGCUUUGUUGUUCAACGGUACUUUCAAGUAUCAUUUCUUUUUUUGGCGUUUUAAACGGAACGGUCGAAUUUUUGAUAACAUGCUGACCAACGGUACUGCCAAGUACAAAAUAAAAAGCAUCAGAAACGACACUGUUUGUCAAAUAUUCUAUAUUUUUGCCUUAGAGGGUCAUUGCAAUUUGAUUUUUUCUAUCGCGAAGAUAGCUUACAAAAACGAUUUCUUUCUGGACUUGGUCAAAAGGGGUUAAAUAUUGGCAACAGCGAAUACCGCAGGCAAUCGAAUGGACGAAACCACGUCAGCUUUGAAAAUGAUCGAUGGUAUAAGCCAAGGAAGAGGAAGACCUCCACUGAGUUGAAAAGACCAGAUGGUAUAUCGUAGUUAUUGGGGCUCCCAACAAUUUACAACUUACCGAUCAAAACAGGGUUAGAUCGCCGAAAAGAAAGCCCUUCAGCUUCUGGCCAAUCCCGGUACCCUAGAAUCGCCUAUCGUAUCCAUAGUUGAUAAUGGGCUUAAAACGGACUAUGUUUCAUUAAAUUCGGUGGGGAAACUCGAAAGACAAGUGUUGAAGAUAAAUUUGACCGAGGUAAUUGAUGCAUUAAAUUAAUUGAGGAUCCAAUUAAGCAGUGUUCCCUGUAUGUAAUAUUUACAAACAUAAAGUAUAAGCAUCAAUACCCGCAACGAAUGUUGCACCAAACGUAAGACAAAAAGUGAAAAUAAUUCUUGGAAACAACUUCAGUGCUUUUGAUACCUCAGUUGCGGCAUGAAAACACCGACGCGGGGGCAACAGCUUUGUCAGCGGAUAAUGAUUAGAAAAGCGGUUGACAUCUGAUUUGUAUGGAACAAAAUAUUAUAACGACCGCCGAUGCGAGUCGCGAUAACGGCGCAGUCGCAGAUGUGGCAAGCGCUGUACAUAAUACACGAAACUAUUGUCGCGCUGUGCGUUCAAGUGUCUUAUGCAGAUACGCAUUUGAUAUGACAGCUCAGAUAAGUACAGAAAACACACACGACACCAAAAAAAAAGUAAAAUAAAUCAAGAGAUAAAUGAGAAAAAAUGAAAACAUUUCAGUUGUCAAAGUCAAAAGCCACGAAUAGCCGCUGCAAUUGUUUGGAGCAACGCGGCUGGCCGCGCUUAUGCACACACUUACGAGUCUACAUACUCGGACUUGACGCUUUCAACUUGUCGCUCGUGCGCUCGUUGCCAAGCACUCGUCGGUUGCAUUGUCAUUACAAUUUCAAUGGCAGUGAAAUACAACAACAACAGCGUUCUUUUUACCACCUUUUUUGCGCCUUGUCGCAAAGCAGUUCGCCGUGUUUUUUGCUCAUGUCGUUGCGCUUGCGCGUUGACCUGUCAAUUUGUAGCUAUUGAAAUGUCAGCACUUUGCAUUAACUGCAACUUUUAUUUUGUAUCUGCAUAAUCGCCGUGCUGAUUGUUGUUGGCGGCGAGCGCGCAUGCGCAUUGCUGGACACACAUAAUUGAGUGCAAUGCGCAUUGCGCGGCGCACCAGUUUCAGCGCUGCGCCGCCUUCCUCAACUGCUCUGCACUGUAGCGCGCUGCGCAUGCGCAGCUCCAUCUACAUUUGAGUACGUGUACGAGGGCUGUUUAUGUUUGGCAUGGAAUUUGCUGCUGUCAAUAUUGAUUGUUGCUUGUUUGUGUUUCACAUCGCCUCGGUGCCAUAAUACCAAUUUUGGUUGUUGCAGUGUCACCUCGACGCGCCAUAUUUGAAAAGGUACACAUGUUGCCAAUUCGUUGGAAUAAUGUGCAUCGGAGUGUGUGUGUUAGUUGUAAGUGCGCAAUUAUGCAAAAUAAAUUCACACGAGUAAACGUGAACCCUGAGCCGCCUUUUUUGGACGAUGCUGUGAAAUCUUAGAUAGCAUUCGUGCGGGAUUGUUUAUAUGUAUACUUGUAAGUGCACAGGUUCAUACUUUUUUCACAGCUUUCAAAAACUAAGUGUGUUUAACUAAUAUUAUUUGCAUUUAUUAAAACUUGCGAAUACCGAGACAAAGCCGUUCUAAACUAGUGCUUGCUGGCUAUAGCAGGUACAGACAAAGUUUUUUUCAGUUUAGUUUUUAUAAAACCACUUUAAAUAAAACCACUAAAAAUUCGACAGAUCGGCCUAAAAAGUCCAUCGACUUCUGCUUCGUCAAAGAAGUUAUUAUUAUGAAAGCAAAAAACUACUCAGUUCCAUAAUUUAUUCAACCCCUUAAGCUCACAGCCACUCAAACUGAGAACUAAAGUUACAAUGCCUUUAAAAUUUAAAUCACAUUAAAAUUGAAAUCAAAAGAAUUUUAAGAGAUUACAACUCAACUUUAAGUCUAAUAAACACCAAAUUAUACUGUUUCCUCUUAUAAAGUUCCCAUGAGAGAAAUACAAUUUUUUAUACAUAUAAUCACUGUAUAGUUGUUAUUAACAUUUACAACCGAUUCAGUUUAUUUACAAAUUGAAACACACCUGUCAUCGUUUUGGUCUUAUAAAUUGCAACUAAUUUCAGUUGAAGUUGUAUUAAUAUUACAACCUAAAAAGUGAUGAUUUGACUAAGAAUUAACUGCGUUUGAUUUUUUAAUAAAAAGUAUAGUUUAGUUAAAGCAUCAACAACACCAACAAUGUCAUCAUCGAAAUCCAGCGC